AAUGCAGUCGAGCGGACAGAAGGGAGCUUGCUCCCGGAUGUUAGCGGCGGACGGGUGAGUAACACGUGGGUAACCUGCCUGUAAGACUGGGAUAACUCCGGGAAACCGGAGCUAAUACCGGAUAGUUCCUUGAACCGCAUGGUUCAAGGAUGAAAGACGGUUUCGGCUGUCACUUACAGAUGGACCCGCGGCGCAUUAGCUAGUUGGUGAGGUAACGGCUCACCAAGGCGACGAUGCGUAGCCGACCUGAGAGGGUGAUCGGCCACACUGGGACUGAGACACGGCCCAGACUCCUACGGGAGGCAGCAGUAGGGAAUCUUCCGCAAUGGACGAAAGUCUGACGGAGCAACGCCGCGUGAGUGAUGAAGGUUUUCGGAUCGUAAAGCUCUGUUGUUAGGGAAGAACAAGUGCAAGAGUAACUGCUUGCACCUUGACGGUACCUAACCAGAAAGCCACGGCUAACUACGUGCCAGCAGCCGCGGUAAUACGUAGGUGGCAAGCGUUGUCCGGAAUUAUUGGGCGUAAAGGGCUCGCAGGCGGUUUCUUAAGUCUGAUGUGAAAGCCCCCGGCUCAACCGGGGAGGGUCAUUGGAAACUGGGAAACUUGAGUGCAGAAGAGGAGAGUGGAAUUCCACGUGUAGCGGUGAAAUGCGUAGAGAUGUGGAGGAACACCAGUGGCGAAGGCGACUCUCUGGUCUGUAACUG
rnacentral:rRNA from 1 species